rnacentral:rRNA from 1 species
CUACCUUUAUCCUUGGAAGCUCUGGCAAAAGUCCACUUACUUGUGUUUUCUCAUAUGAACCUCUUAACUCCCACUAUUGGAGAUCCUAUUUGCAUACCAACCCAAGACAACCUUAUCUGGUUUUAUGUAUUAACGAAUGGGAAGCGUCGAGGCACUUGUGCAAAUAGAUAUAAUAGUUGCAGAAACUAUCCAAAACUAAAAGUAUAUUACAAUAAUAAUAAUAAUAAUAAUAAUAAUAAUAAUAAUAAUAAUAAUAAUAAUAAUUCUAAGUAG